CCCACCCAAAGCAAGACACUGAAAAUGCCUAGAUGGACUCACACACCCCGUAGACA
rnacentral:tRNA from 1 species